rnacentral:rRNA from 1 species
AUGUUCAGCAAGGCACGGCGGUGGCCGGUGGUGGACGAGACAUUCAGCCUUUUCAGCUAUGCAGUCGACCAUCAAGUAUUGACUGUCAUAACUUCAGUCGACGUAGAGUGGUGUUUUCAUAUUGCUGGCAUAGGAGUACUAUCAAUGCGAGCUUCAGUUACAAUGGCAACAUAUGACCGAAUGUCCAUGUAUCGAAAUGCACUUGAACCUCAAACGGUUAACAAGUCCAGGCUGUUCUCUGUUACUUGUGACAUCAAGGAGGCUUUGAAGCACUUCAAAUCCCACCAGAUUAAUUGGGCGGAGGGUGUUACAGCAUCCCACUCGCAAAGUUGA